UACGGAGGGGGCAAGCGUUGUCCGGAUUUAUUGGGCUUAAAGAGCUCGUAGGCGGCUCGUCGCGUCAGCUGUGAAAACCCGCGGCUUAACCGUGGGCUUGCAGCGGAUACGGGCGGGCUAGAGUUCGGUAGGGGAGACUGGAAUUCCUGGUGUAGCGGUGAAAUGCGCAGAUAUCAGGAGGAACACCGGUGGCGAAGGCGGGUCGCUGGGCCGAUACUGACGCUGAGGAGCGAAAGCGUGGGGAGCGAACAGG
rnacentral:rRNA from 1 species